rnacentral:rRNA from 1 species
CCCUUAGAUGUCCUGGGCUGCACGCGCGCUACACUGGAAGUUACGGAUUGAGAUACUACCUUGUCCGAAAUGGUCCGGGUAAUCACCUAAAAGCUUGUCAUAAUUGGAAUGGAUUAUUGUAACUAGUAAUCCUGAACGAGGAAUUCCUAGUAAGUCCCAGCCAACAGCUGGUACUGAUUACGUCCCUGCCCUUUGUACACACCGCCCGUCGCUACUACUGAUUGGACGUUUAAGCAAGAUUUUUAAACACUGACAGUGUGUAGUUCACGCUAUACUACAGUGAGAAGAAGAAGAUCGAGCUUACUUGUCUAGAGGAAGUAAAAGUCGUAACA